UACGGGGGGAGCAAGCGUUGUUCGGAAUUACUGGGCGUAAAGCGCGCGCAGGCGGUUCGGUAAGUUGGGGGUGAAAUCCCCGGGCUCAACCCGGGAAUUGCCUUCAAGACUGUCGAGCUAGAGGACGAGAGAGGUGAGUGGAAUUCCCAGUGUAGAGGUGAAAUUCGUAGAUAUCGGGAGGAACACCGGUGGCGAAGGCGGCGACCUGGGUCGAUACUGACGCUGAGGUGCGAAAGCGUGGGGAGCAAACAGG
rnacentral:rRNA from 1 species